ACCUAAAAGUCCUUUGUGUAAUAGGUAUAAAGACCUCCUUAUCACUCUUCUCUGAGAUUUUCAUAGAAGAACCCUGCAUUUUGAUUUUGUUUGAUCAUUUUGCUUCUUGACUUUUCACUGAAGAUUCUGUUUCCCACUGGAAUUGAAUCCUUUUGGGAUAACAAAAUUUCACUUAAAAGCACAUUCUGUUAGAUAAUUCUAACUUUUGACAACCUCCAAGUGGCCUGCUAAUUUUUGCAAAUGGGCCAAAGCAGCACAAAUGUCAAAGAUAUAAGCUCUGUGUUUGCCUUGUAGUUAGCCAAGUAAAGAAAUGUCUAAUCCUAGCACUUAGAAGUGGCUUAAUGGCUUUCGGUUUAUCUCUGCAUUCCAAAUUGGUUGAAAAUGGCACAUUCAGAAUGGAAUGCUUAUUAAUAACAGAACUACUUAAUGUUUUAAAAUAGUCUUACCUUGAGAUUCUU
rnacentral:lncRNA from 1 species